GCGUGAGUGAAGAAGGCCUUAGGGUUGUAAAGCUCUUUCAAUCGUGAAGAUGAUGACGGUAGCGAUAGAAGAAGCCCCGGCUAACUCCGUGCCAGCAGCCGCGGUAAUACGGAGGGGGCUAGCGUUGUUCGGAAUUACUGGGCGUAAAGCGCACGUAGGCGGCGUAUCAAGUCAGUGGUGAAAGGCCUGGGCUUAACCUGGGAACUGCCAUUGAGACUGAUAUGCUUGAGUUCGGAAGAGGGUGGCGGAAUUCCAAGUGUAGAGGUGAAAUUCGU
rnacentral:rRNA from 1 species